AUUGAACGCUGGCGGCAUGCCUUACACAUGCAAGUCGAACGGUAACAGGUCUUCGGAUGCUGACGAGUGGCGAACGGGUGAGUAAUACAUCGGAACGUGCCUAGUAGUGGGGGAUAACUACUCGAAAGAGUGGCUAAUACCGCAUGAGAUCUACGGAUGAAAGCAGGGGAUCGCAAGACCUUGUGCUACUAGAGCGGCCGAGGGCAGAUUAGGUAGUUGGUGGGAUAAAAGCUUACCAAGCCGACGAUCUGUAGCUGGUCUGAGAGGACGAUCAGCCACACUGGGACUGGGACACGGCCCAGACUCCUACGGGAGGCAGCAGUGGGGAAUUUUGGACAAUGGGCGCAAGCCUGAUCCAGCAAUGCCGCGUGCAGGAUGAAGGCCUUCGGGUUGUAAACUGCUUUUGUACGGAACGAAAAGCCCUGGGUUAAUACCCUGGGGUCAUGACGGUACCGUAAGAAUAAGCACCGGCUAACUACGUGCCAGCAGCCGCCGUAA
rnacentral:rRNA from 1 species